rnacentral:rRNA from 1 species
ACGGGAGGCAGCAGUGGGGAAUAUUGCGCAAUGGGGGAAACCCUGACGCAGCAACGCCGCGUGAGUGAAGAAGUAUUUCGGUAUGUAAAGCUCUAUCAGCGGGGACGAUAAUGACGGUACCCGCAGAAGAAGUCCCGGCUAACUACGUGCCAGCAGCCGCGGUAAUACGUAGGGGACAAGCGUUAUCCGGAUUUACUGGGUGUAAAGGGAGCGUAGGCGGCCUAGCAAGUCAGAAGUGAAAGCCCGCGGCUUAACUGCGGGACUGCUUUUGAAACUGUGAGGCUAGAGUACUGGAGGGGCAAGCGGAAUUCCUGGUGUAGCGGUGAAAUGCGUAGAUAUCAGGAAGAACACCGGUGGCGAAGGCGGCUUGCUGGACAGAGACUGACGCUGAGGCUCGAAAGCGUGGGGAGCAAACAGGAUUAGAUACCCUGGUA